rnacentral:rRNA from 1 species
UUGCUGGAUGCUGACGAGCGGCGGACGGGUGAGUAACGCAUAGGAAUCUACCCGGUAGUGGGGGAUAACCUGGGGAAACCCAGGCUAAUACCGCAUACGUCCUACGGGAGAAAGGGGGCUUUGGCUCCCGCUAUUGGAUGAGCCUAUGCCGGAUUAGCUGGUUGGUGAGGUAAUGGCUCACCAAGGCGACGAUCCGUAGCUGGUCUGAGAGGAUGAUCAGCCACAUCGGGACUGAGACACGGCCCGAACUCCUACGGGAGGCAGCAGUGGGGAAUAUUGGACAAUGGGGGCAACCCUGAUCCAGCCAUGCCGCGUGUGUGAAGAAGGCCCUCGGGUUGUAAAGCACUUUCAGCGAGGAAGAACGCCUGUCGGUUAAUACCCGGCAGGAAAGACAUCACUCGCAGAAGAAGCACCGGCUAACUCCGUGCCAGCAGCCGCGGUAAUACGGAGGGUGCAAGCGUUAAUCGGAAUUACUGGGCGUAAAGCGCGCGUAGGUGGCUUGAUAAGCCGGUUGUGAAAGCCCCGGGCUCAACCUGGGAACGGCAUCCGGAACUAUUAGGCUAGAGUGCAGGAGAGGAAGGUAGAAUUCCCGGUGUAGCGG